rnacentral:rRNA from 1 species
CCUACGGGAGGCAGCAGUGAGGAAUAUUGGUCAAUGGUCGAGAGACUGAACCAGCCAAGCCGCGUGAGGGAUGAAGGUCCUACGGGUCGUAAACCUCUUUUGUCGGGGAGCAAAGAGCGGGACGUGUCCCCCCCUGAGUGUACCUGGAGAACAAGCAUCGGCUAACUCCGUGCCAGCAGCCGCGGUAAUACGGAGGAUGCGAGCGUUAUCCGGAUUUAUUGGGUUUAAGGGGUGCGCAGGCGGUCGGGAAAGUCAGCGGUAAAAGCGCGGGGCUCAACCCCGGCCCGCCGUUGAAACUGGGAGUCUAGAGUGGGAGAGAAGUACGCGGAAUGCGCGGUGUAGCGGUGAAAUGCAUAGAUAUCGCGCAGAACUCCGAUUGCGAAGGCAGCAUGCCGGCGCCAAACUGACGCUGAGGCACGAAAGCGUGGGUAUCGAACAGGAUUAGAUACCCGUGUAGUC